CUACGGGGGGCUGCAGUGAGGAAUAUUGCACAAUGGGGGGAACCCUGAUGCAGCAACGCCGCGUGGAGGAUGACGCAUUUCGGUGUGUAAACUCCUUUUAUAUGUCAAGAAAAUGACGGUAGCAUAUGAAUAAGCACCGGCUAACUCCGUGCCAGCAGCCGCGGUAAUACGGAGGGUGCAAGCGUUACUCGGAAUCACUGGGCGUAAAGGACGCGUAGGCGGGUUGGAAAGUCAGGUGUGAAAUCCUACAGCUUAACUGUAGAACUGCACUUGAAACUUCUAAUCUAGAGUAUGGGAGGGGGAGAUGGAAUUAGUGGUGUAGGGGUAAAAUCCGUAGAUAUCACUAGGAAUACCUAAAGCGAAGGCGAUCUCCUGGAACAUUACUGACGCUGAGGCGCGAAAGCGUGGGGAGCAAACAGGAUUAGAUACCCCCGUAGUC
rnacentral:rRNA from 1 species